rnacentral:rRNA from 1 species
UACGUAGGGUGCUAGCGUUGUCCGGAUUUAUUGGGCGUAAAGAGCUCGUAGGCGGCUUUGUAAGUCGGGUGUGAAAACCCCAGGCUCAACCUGGGGACGCCACUCGAUACUGCAAUAGCUAGAGUCUGGUAGGGGAUCACGGAAUUCCUGGUGUAGCGGUGAAAUGCGCAGAUAUCAGGAGGAACACCGGUGGCGAAGGCGGUGAUCUGGGCCAGUACUGACGCUGAGGAGCGAAAGCGUGGGGAGCAAACAGG